rnacentral:rRNA from 1 species
UACGUAGGGUGCAAGCGUUAAUCGGAAUUACUGGGCGUAAAGCGUGCGCAGGCGGUCUGCAAGACAGAUGUGAAAUCCCCGGGCUCCAACCUGGGAACUGCAUUUGUGACUGCAAGGCUGGAGUACGGUAGAGGGGGAUGGAAUUCCGCGUGUAGCAGUGAAAUGCGUAGAGAUGCGGAGGAACACCGAUGGCGAAGGCAGCCCCCUGGGCCGACAUUGACGCUCAGGCACGAAAGCGUGGGGAUCAAACAGGA